AGGCAUGGGCCUGAAUAUUUGAACAGAUGGCUUUAUGGGGGAGAUAACAUCUGUUACCUGAGUAGAGUAACUCCUACUAACUUGCUUGCUGUUUGAACUACCAUGAAAUGCUGAGAUGAUGUUUUAAAGGAUCUGACUACAAUAGAAAACUGAGGACAUACCAUAACAACUGAGACUAUAUUACUGCAAAGAUCUUCUUUGAACACAUUUGUCCAAAGCACUUGUGGAAGAUGAGUAACUAUCUGUUUGCUUCUUCCUGAYUGGUGUAAUGCUCUCGGAGCCUAAAAGCUGUCCAACAAAAAGUAACUUCAGAGGCUUCAGAUGUGUUUUCUAAGAAGCUUUAGGGCUCCAAUCACCCAGAAAAAAAAAUAAAGGUGACUAGAGAGCAUUUGGAAAAGGAGUCUCUUAAAAUAAUAUAUCAGUUGAAGUUUACUUUAUGAUCCUUACCCUUGCUCUCCUUUUGCACUUUUUUUUUUGUUAUCAUCCUUUCAUUAGUGCAGAGCAAAAUACGGUGUUUCCUUUAGGGCACUUUGAUUACAAGAGAAAUCGAGCAUGAAAAGACUGUUACAAUCUGAUAAAAUUCUUGUUAAGCUGAGAGGCCAUUUGUAUCAUAAGCCAUUAUCUUUUGGCAUAUGAACUUUCUCAUCCUGAAGCCACCUCUUGGCAGCAAUGCUUAUUAUUAAGACCAUCAAGAUUGAUACUAGAAGUCAUAGCUCCUGAUUUCUGAUAUUGGCAUUUUGGUCUAUUAUUAGCAAUAUAACAGAGAAAUUACCUGAAAUGCUGGGGGUGUGUAGGUACAUAUUGAUACCAAUAUUUCAAAUGGAGAGGAAAAUAAGGAAUAUAAAAAUGAAAGAGAAAGAAAAACGACAUACUGAACAAAGGAAGACAUUUACUGGCUAAGAAAUAGAUAUUGUGUAACAAAACAUACAUGGAUAAUAGCAAACUAAUCUGAAAAGCUGAAUGAGAUGAAAGGAUUAGAACUGCACAAUUUUCU